rnacentral:rRNA from 1 species
UACGUAGGGGGCAAGCGUUGUCCGGAACUCGAUUGGGCGUAAAGCGCGUGUGAGGCGGCCCGGUAAGUCCGCUGUGAAAGUCGGGGGGCUCAACCCUCGAAUGCCGGUGGAUACUGUCGGGCUAGAGUGCGGGAGAGGCGAGUGGAAUUCCUGGUGUAGCGGUGAAAUGCGCAGAUAUCAGGAGGAACACCGAUGGCGAAGGCAGAUCUCUGGGCCGUAACUGACGCUGAGGAGCGAAAGCGUGGGGAGCGAACAGG